UCUCAGACAACACAUGAUCUCUACCUGCCACUUGCCUAAUUCUGUUGACAGAAACUGCUUUCAAUAUGACUGUUGAAAUUUAAAGUGUCAUUAUUAUGUCACAUAAGAUUAUGACUUCUAUCUUGCUAGUAGACCCUCUCCAUUAACUCUCUCUCUUUCUGAUUGAGUGUAAGCUGCUAUAUGAAGGGAUCCACAAGACGAAUAAUUAAGGGGGACCUCUGAUCAACAGCCAGCAAGGAACUGAAUCCCUCAGACCCACAACUCACAAGAAACUGAAGCUGAAGCAGAUUCUUCCUCAGUCAAGCUUCAGGAAAGAAAUCAUGAGUGACCACUCAGCUCAAGGCUUCUCUGCUGAUGCCAUCCAGUGAGUUUCCUGGCAGCCAUCUUUUUAUGAAAGAAUAGAGGUCAGCCUGACUGCACUUCCAGAUGAUUAGAGGUGAAAUGGCUUUGCAUUUUAGCUUAGGGAAGGGACCUGCUUUGCAGAAAGGAUCUCAUUGAGAAUAGCAAAAGGAAGUUGGGAACCAUUACAGGUGCCCAGCUGUAUUGGUAGAGGAGACCAACCACACCCUCCACAGCACAGCACCUGGAGAGGAACUGCUGCCAUGACCAUAGAGGACACCCUCUGGAUACAAUGCCAGACUUGAUGUGGGACUGACCAACCUAUGGACCCCAGGCACCACCACCCAGACCUGCUCAGCACCUGAAAGCAUUCACAGCCGUGGAGAGAGAACUGUUCACUGCUACCAUCCACACUUCUGGGCCCCUUCAGCAGCAGGGUGACAAGGAAGAGGGAAAUCGACUUGGAAAAGAGGGGGCGAAAAGGAGGCUUAAGGACAUAAUUUGGCGGGGACCUCUGACCCAAGAGUUCGGUCAAUGCAUAUGUUGGCAGCCAGCUGCACAUCGCACCAAAUAUGAACUUCAAAUAGAAGAAAGCCUCAUUUGGAAGAAAGCUCAUGCACAGACUGUAAAUAUUUCAGAGCAGAUUGUGUCUCUGUAGAUUAAGUAAGUUGUGAAAGUCUGAACCUCUGCCAAAAUUUUAAGACCUUGACCUUUACAUCUCUGAGUUUCUAUCUGUCAUUUUUCGCAAACAGUUUAUUUUUCCAGUAUGACAAUGUUGUGACAAGAUCAGAAGCCAGCUUUCUCACCAUUAAAUCAAAGUCUUAUCAAUAUAUGGAGACUUUUAUGGAAAGAAACCUGAAAUUACGCAGAAAUGCCUUCCGCAAGAAGUGGCUAGUAUGGUGGCUUCAAGAACAGUGACAUUUUUCAGUAUGUCCGUUGUUCUAAGACGUUAGUACAUCACAAUUACCUAGAAAACUUGUUAAAACACAGAAGUCUGGGCUCCCCCUCUUGGCCAACCCCCAUUCCCAGAGGGUUUCUGUUUCCAUGGGUCUGAAAUACCACCUAACGAUUGGCAUUUCUAACAAAUUUCUGCAUGAAGCUGCUGGUCUGAGGACCACACUUUGACAACCAGUGCACUACAUUAAGCUAUCUGGAGAAGCUGCAAAUGCAGAUGAAGAAGCUACAAAUUUUUCUAUGUCAACAAAAAUUGACUGAUGAGGGUGACCUUCGGAUCAUGUUUUUAAUGUUUAUGAAACUGGUCUCAUUAUCAGAAGUAAAUGGCUUCAAGAACUUCAGCCUGAGGAAGAAAACAUGAGUCCUAGGCAUAUCAGGCUACAACCAUGUUUGGAAUGAAUCUAGGUGCAAAUCUCAGUGGAGAAUUAACUGUACCAAUAUUUUAAUUAGGAUUACUAAUGUUUUGUUACUUCCUGAUUACAAGGUUCUAUAGGUUUUGAAUGAUCCACUGUAAUCCUGUUUCUUUUCCAUAAGUCGUGUAGUUUUUAGCAUGUAAUUAUGCAGACCAUAAGGUUUUUCAGGAAUACUAAUAUGGCAUUAGAUUAGAAAUGCUAUAUUAAAAAUUCUUAUUAAAUCUACUGAUAGUAACCAAAAAAUAGAAGAUUCAGAAGAACUAGCAAAUGUGGAGAGAACGGAUGAAAUGGAAGCAGUGUGAACCUAGUGAAUACUUGCCAAGCUGUAUCUCCCCUGAAUUUGUCAAAACAUCAUCUCCAGCAUCUGAGCUAGACCAACCCUCAGUGCUAACAUUGAUGUGAUUAAAGAGUCUGAACUGGGAGCAGAAUUCCUUCAGGUAUUUUGUUAAUAAAAUAAAGCUCUCCAUCUCUCCUUAAAUUAAACAA
rnacentral:lncRNA from 1 species